CUGGUUUCUCUUCAGAUCAUAUAAAUCUUUCAUCUUUUACUAAAGAUUUCCUUGGAGAGAUGUACUGAUG
rnacentral:snRNA from 1 species